rfam:Pseudomassariella vexata strain CBS 129021 BCR38scaffold_4, whole genome shotgun sequence.
CACAUCCACCGACAUGACACAACAUCCAGCAGCGAUGUUGUGCGACCUGCAGUGUCAGUCGGUGGAGGUG